AAAGGUAGCAUAAUCAGUUGGCUUAUAAUUGAAGUCUAGUAUGAAUGGGUAAACGGGAAUUAACUGUCUCAAUUUAAAAACUACAAGAACUUACUUAAUAAGUGAAAAUACUUAUAGUAAAGAAGAAAGACGAGAAGACCCUAGAAAUUUUUUAUAAAUUUUUAUAAUCUAUUUUGUUGGGGCGACAAGGUAACAAUAAACUUACUCUUUUAAAUAAGCUGCUAAUUAGUCGAAAGAAUAAAUUACUCUAGGGAUAACAGCAUAAUUUAUUUAUAAGUUUGUGACCUCGAUGUUGGACUAGGGUAUAACUUACCUAGAAGGUAAGUUAGUUAGCUCUGUUCGAGCCUUAGACCCUACAU
rnacentral:rRNA from 1 species